rnacentral:lncRNA from 1 species
AUGGUGGACUUGUAUAAAUUCAUGAAAAAUAUACAAUUAUCAACUAAAAAAGAGUAUUGUUUACAAAUUAAAGACUGUGUGGAAGUUGAGUUUGCCCAUGUGUGGUUCCUGGUAUUCUUUUUGCAGGUCCAGGUAAAAAUGAACAUUUUGCUUUCUUCUUUUUCAGUCACCUAGGUUCUAGUCUGGGUUUGUUUCUAAUUUGGGUAAUUGAGUUGUUACAAAAAUUGCAUGGUGGACGUUUCAAAAAUUGGGUUUAUGCUAUUUGCUCAACAUACACUUGCAUUUUAUACAUAGUUCUAUAUAUACAAAACCCUACACAAGAAAAGUCAAGCACCUCAGGAGCAUUUCAACAAGCACUAUACCUGCACAAUGUUGGCUUCUCCUACCAAAACUUCUCUCUAUAAUUUCUCCAAAAACCUUAUGGGUUACAACACAAAAAACUUCUCCUCGUCAACCUCUCUCGCCAUCACCACCAAGAAAACUUGGCAUUCUUCUUCUCUCACCCCAAAACCCCCAUCAAUUUCACAUAGAUUUCACUUGUUUUUCAUGUUCAUCUAACUUGUUUUCUUCCCAAGAUCCUUGGCUAAGAGUUGGCUCAAAAUUACGAGGAUGGAGUAGAAAAACCCAGAUGGGAUUACCUGAAGGUAUUUGUCAAAACCCUAAUUAUUUUCUUUGUUAUGUUUUUAUUUAUUUAUUUAUCAAAUUUCUAUGGGGAAAUGAAUAUAAUUUUUAAUUAUUGGAUAUGGGGCUGUAUGAAAUAACAGUUGGAACAAAAUUAGAGGCCCCAAAGGUCUUGCCAUUGCAAGAUUUGUGGUCAUGCAACAAAUGUUUGCCUCAAGUCUCUAAAAAAUCUAUUUCAAUGUUUCCUAGAGAAAUCUCCAAAGAAGCAUCAAAUACUUGAACUGAAAUUAAAAAAGAAAGACAUACACUAAUAUAAUAUUUUGCCUAUUGGAUGCCCGUGGUUUGAUCCACUUGAAGACGCUCGCGCUCUAAAAGGUCAAUCCAAUUUGAUGCUCUUGAUUAUUGUUCUCCAAGAGAUGAACAUAGGUCGAUAUUAUGAAUAACGCAGAACAUAAAGAUCAAGUCAAUGUCCCUCAAAUGGUGAUGUGGCAGUUGCUCUACCCAAUUAUUGAAAUUCGGCUAAUAGAUUCAAAAUCUCCCACCAUGUUUGGUGGAAAAGCUAGUUGUUCUUUUCUUUGUGGUUGUUAGGAGAUCAAAGCGAUUUGUUUCCUUUCAGGUUGAUUUUAUUUUAUUUUAUAUUAUAUCGUUCUCUCUCGGAUUGUGUGAGUCAUGUUUAAGCUAAUUUUGUGUUGUUUAUUAACGUGUUUUGUGUAGUCUCUAAAAUUAUUCCCGCUCCUGUAGGUUUUGAGCCUAUGUUUAUAUCUUCUUUUUUAGUAAUAAAAUCUUAACAAAAAAGAAUGUUAUCAAAGCAGAAAGCAUCUUAACAAAAAAGAAUGUUAUCAAAGCAGGAAGCAUUGUUUACCUUUUCUAUCCAUCCUCAAUAAUAGUGAUUAUUCCAUUACAAGUUUUUUGGUACGUAUCCUUGCUCUGUUUGAUAAUCAUGCAUUUAUGUGUAUAAUACUAUAAGUAAGCUUGUUGAAUUUUGCAGUUACUUGUCUUGGUCUCUUGCAUUCAUGUGAAACCAGAUGUCGUAUGCCCAUGGAAAAUCACUGAAUAUGACUCUAAGAGCAGGGA